UACGUAGGUGGCAAGCGUUGUUCGGAAUUACUGGGCGUAAAGCGUGCGCAGGCGGUUUUGUAAGCCAGAUGUGAAAGCCCCGGGCUUAACCUGGGAAUGGCAUUUGGGACUGCAAGGCUCGAGUGCGGCAGAGGAGACUGGAAUUCCUGGUGUAGCAGUGAAAUGCGUAGAUAUCAGGAGGAAUACCGAUGGCGAAGGCAGGUCUCUGGGCUGACACUGACGCUCAUGCACGAAAGCGUGGGGAGCGAACAGG
rnacentral:rRNA from 1 species